rnacentral:sRNA from 1 species
CCAUCACUCCUCUAACCAGUCACCCUUUCUCUUUAGUUCUGGCCUUAGGGAAGCCAACCUGAAGAGCUGCCCUUGGUCAUGAGCCCUAACGAGCCCAUGUCUCUUCUGAGAGUGGAUUACAGUCUUUUUCCUGUGCAACCCCCCUCCUUUUCUGUCCCCCUUAGGCAGAGGUGCAGCCUCAGUGUGGAAGAGCCGUGGGAUUCUCUUCAGGCACUGAAAACCCACAUGGAGUGAAGGCUGUCACCAGGGGGCAGCGCUGUGCCAUCGCCCUGUGGUUCACCCUGGACCCUCGACACAGCGAGCGGGGGGACAGGGUGCAGGCAGAUGACCUGGUGAAGAUGCUCUUCAGCCCAGAAGAGAUGGACCUCUCCCAGGAGCAGCCCCUGGAUGCCCAGCAGGGCCCCCCCGAACCUACACCACAGUCUCUCUCAGACAGUGAAUCGAAGCCCAAGGAUGAGCUAUGACAGCGUCCAGGUCAGAUGGAUGGGUGACUAGACCCAUGGAGAGGAACUUUCCUGCACUCUGAGCUGGCCAGCCCCUCAGGGCUGCAGAGCAGUGAGCCUACGUCUGCCACUCAGCCGAGGGGACCCUGCUCACAGCCUUCUACAUGGUGCUGCUGCUCUUGGAGUG